rfam:Helianthus annuus linkage group 14, whole genome shotgun sequence.
GAUUGCAGUGAUGACCUCAGAAAAAUUCAAGCUCAACAGACCGGAAUGCAGGAUUCUUAACUGAGUUUUGCGUGUCGAUAACCCGCUCACUGAGCAGUC